rnacentral:lncRNA from 1 species
ACUAUUCCUUGUUUGGGAUAUAGUUAUUUUAUUAUAUUAAUAACUUAAUUAUAAUAAAUCAUGAGCACACUAAAUAUUUAAGAAGUGUUGAAAAACUUAUCAAGAUGUACACCAAAUAAGUGACUUUAACCGAGUGAUUCUAUGAAACACAUGAUAAUUGAUGUGAUUAUGAUUGUGACUAUGAUGUAUGUGUAGAUCUCAUUCUCAUGAUAUGUGAU